rnacentral:piRNA from 1 species
UGUUUUGGAUGUAUUUAAGUGGCAAG